GGCUCUGUAGUGAAGUUCAUAGUGAGUUGCAAACUCAUUGAUGUACACUAGUCGUGUGCCGGAGUCU
rnacentral:tRNA from 2 species